rnacentral:rRNA from 1 species
AGAGUUUGAUCCUGGCUCAGAUUGAACGCUGGCGGCAUGCCUUACACAUGCAAGUCGAACGGCAGCACGGGAGCAAUCCUGGUGGCGAGUGGCGAACGGGUGAGUAAUAUAUCGGAACGUGCCCAGUCGUGGGGGAUAACGCAGCGAAAGCUGUGCUAAUACCGCAUACGAUCUCUGGAUGAAAGCGGGGGACUCGCAAGGGCCUCGCGCGAUUGGAGCGGCCGAUAUCAGAUUAGCUAGUUGGUGGGGUAAAAGCCCACCAAGGCGACGAUCUGUAGCUGGUCUGAGAGGACGACCAGCCACACUGGAACUGAGACACGGUCCAGACUCCUACGGGAGGCAGCAGUGGGGAAUUUUGGACAAUGGGCGCAAGCCUGAUCCGGCAAUGCCGCGUGCAGGAUGAAGGCCUUCGGGUUGUAAACUGCUUU